AUUGAACGCUGGCGGCAUGCCUUACACAUGCAAGUCGAACGGUAACGGGCCUUCGGGUGCCGACGAGUGGCGAACGGGUGAGUAAUACAUCGGAACGUGCCCGAUCGUGGGGGAUAACGUGGCGAAAGCUUUGCUAAUACCGCAUACGAUCUACGGAUGAAAGCCGGGGACCGCAAGGCCUUGCGCGGGCGGAGCGGCCGGUGGGAGAUUAGGUAGUUGGUGGGAUAAAAGCUUACCAAGCCGACGAUCUGUAGCUGGUCUGAGAGGAUGAUCAGCCACACUGGGACUGAGACACGGCCCAGACUCCUACGGGAGGCAGCAGUGGGGAAUUUUGGACAAUGGGCGCAAGCCUGAUCCAGCCAUGCCGCGUGCAGGAUGAAGGCCUUCGGGUUGUAAACUGCUUUUGUACGGAACGAAAAGCCUUCUUUUAAUACAGGAGGGUCAUGACGGUACCGGAAGAAUAAGCACCGGCUAACUACGUG
rnacentral:rRNA from 1 species